GACGCCUUAUUGUGCAAUAAUUAGUAUAGAGACGAUUUAGUAGAGCGUGACAUGUGACGUGGCACGUGACACGUGAUGGGGUGGAUGAUGUGGCGGGUGACAUGGCAUGUUACGUGGCAGAUGAUGUGACAGGUGACGUGGCACGUGACAUGGCGGAUGAUGUGGCAGGUGACUUGGCGGGUGACAUGUUUCAUAGUAAUACCAAAUUGCGUGUUAACAAAUAUAGAAACAAUAUCGUAAAUAUAUUUUUAUUAUGCGUCUACGGAUAUAGACACGUUUUAUAGUAACACCACAUUGUGUAUUAAGAAUUGUAGAGACAAUUUAUAGAUACAUCUAUUUUGAUGUGUACUAAUAUAUAAUGAUUCUUUUAUUUGCAUUUAUAAAUCCAAUAUAUCAUUUUAUUUUCUAAUAGGAUAAUAAUGCCUAAAUAGAGACAUUGCAUUGGCAAUCAAUUCUUUGCUUCACCAAAAAGAAACUGCGUACUUCAUUCAAGAACCAACAUGUCCAUUAAUUAAAAUACUAUCAACAAGACAAUUGCCUCGAUAAAGAAAUACAGACAAAGUAACAAUACCAUACAAUUAUUUCUAAAUAUUUUCACUAACAAUUAAAACCUACUCUUCAUUUCCCGUUCUUACCCC
rnacentral:lncRNA from 1 species